rfam:Trichobilharzia regenti genome assembly, scaffold: TRE_scaffold0010163
GUCCCAGUGGCUUAAUGGUCUGCGAGCUCUCUGGCCUUGUAACCAGAAGGUCCUGGGUUCGAAUCCUGGUGGGUGCG